GUCCCGUGGUAUCGUGGCCUGCUUUUUGGAUGUGGCGAAAGCGUAUGACAGUGUUCCACACGAGCUGCUUCUCAGCCGCAUGCGAAGUAUCGAUAUGCCACCGCUUUGGAUAGGCACCCGCGCCGCCAAUGGAGUUCACGAGGAGCGCGAGAACGCACAACCUAGCGAGUAGAAGCAGCUAAAUCGGUCCAGGCAGUGACUUUUUUGAGGAGUCACGAACAUUUACAGCUAACAGAACUGCAUUUACAGCUACCCAGAGAGGAUUAUGGCCUCACCCAGGGAGCCUUCGUUGGAAACGUGCAUAAAAGCAGACGCUUGAGCGCGCGUGAUGUGUUCUGCGAGCGCCUCAUUUACUUCGUAUCCCUGGCGGCCGUUGGCGAAAAUACUGAGGCGGCAAAUAAGAACUGCAUCCUGCGAAGAAAGUAAUUAACCACACAAAUUGCUUCCUUCAAGAUGUAACUGAGUCAAGUUAAAAAUUACUGCUUUGAGUCAUUGAGCAAGUACCAAAAGAUUUGCCCAUUCAUCCUACAGAGCAUCCAAGAAGUUGCGUGCUACAUGCAUUGCCACAAAUCAGUUGCACCAAGUUCUUCAAAAGUUAUUGGUUUGUUAGCACUGUUUUGUAGCAGUUUAGUGUGUUAUGAAUUUUGUGACAGUGACGUCACCAUGUUUACUGACUGCUGCCUUUGAUUAGCUAUAUUGGAAAAAGUGAUAUCAGUUAUUUGUUGCUGGCCCUGUUAGUCUAUUGAAAUUGUGAAGAAGGGCAUGGCAGUGUUUAAGAUUCAGUCAUAACAAUAAAAGAAUUGUGCCUCUCCUUACAAAUCACUGGUUCAAGCCUUCUAGUUGUAAAUGCAAGUUCUUGUCUGUACAAGUCUGUUCAACAAUACUCAUGUUCAUGCAAGUGUAGCUGAGAAAAAUAAUUUUGUAGAUAAGUUUACACAACACCUUGAAGUGGUGAUUUCAUUUUGCUCUGCAGUAUCUUAACAAUGAUAUUGAAAUGAGUUUACUGCAGAAAAUGUCUUACCUCAUUACAGCAUAUUUGGCCCUGUAAACCUUCGUGUUUGUGUUUUUUUUUGUUGUGGUUUCAAUUCAGCUAAAUCUUGAAAUUAAUAUUAACCAACCAACUUCAUCUGUUUUUUUUUCCUUACAGUAUCUGCUACUAACUGAGGAAUGAUUGUUUCCUAAAUGUACUUAAAUGUAGUUAGAUUCUUUUCCACUACCAAAUAGGGCACCAUUACCACUUCCUAUAAAGUAUUUCCCUAUACCUUUCAUGUUAUUUCAUGUUUAUUUUGUUCAUGUUGUAAUGUAGUUUAUGUCAGUUGCUACAUUCGGUUUGCUCAUGAUGUGAAUACAGUGAUACCUAAAAUACUUGUAUUGCUUUGUUGAGUUGAUUAGCACAUUGUGCAGUGUAACACACUCAAACUACUUUGAUCAUUCGUGCAUGUUAAUGUAACGACACCAAGAAUCAUAAAGCCAAU